CCCUUAGAUGUCCUGGGCCGCACGCGCGUUACACUGAUGCAUUCAACGAGCUUAUAACCUUGGCCGAGAGGCCUGGGCAAUCUUGUUAACAUGCAUCGUGAUAGGGAUAGAUUAUUGAAAUUAUUAAUCUUGAACGAGGAAUUCCUAGUAAACGCAGAUCAUCAAUCUGCAUUGAUUACGUCCCUGCCCUUUGUACACACCGCCCGUCGCACCUACCGAUUGGAUGGUCCGGUGAAGCCUCGGGAUUGUGGUUCUUGCCGCUUUAUUGUGGCGUGACCGCGAGAACUUGUCUAAACCUUAUCAUCUAGAGGAAGGUGAAGUCGUAACA
rnacentral:rRNA from 1 species